CUGUCCUGUUGAGUUUGAUCAGGGGUGCUCAAUGCGUCGAUCGCGAUCAACUGGUCAACAGCGAAAGGAGCCACCGAAGCAUCGUUCCGGGUUCGUCACAUCGUCGUUGAUAACAAAAGUCCUUCCAAGAUGGAGAGAUGCUGUAAAGGGGUACAGUUACACGGCGCUGUGGCGCCAUGGCUGAUGUGUGGAAGGACAUCUCGGAUUUUGAUGGACGAAUCCAUUGAUGUGAGUGACACAGCCCAGGGUGUCUGGGUUCUCCCUUAGAGAUGGGAUGAGAAGCUUGGUCAUCCGGAGGGGCUCAGUGUUGAGCCGCUGCUCCUCUGCAUUCUCGAGGAGCCAGAAGAGGUGGCCGGGGCAUCUGAGCCAGAUGCCUCUAGGACGCCUCCCUCGUAGGAUGUUCCAGGCACGUCCCACCAGAAGCAGACCCAGGGGAGCACCCAGGACAGGAUGGCCUAAGAUCUGAAGGAAGUGGCUGGAGAAACAGAAGUCUGGGCAUCCCUCCAAAAGCUACUGCCCCCGCAACCUGAGCCAGAUAAGCACUAGAAGAUGGAUAGUUGAAUGGAUGGAUGGAUAAAACCUAUACCAUGAAAUACAGGCCAACAAGGCCCAAUAAGACUCCUUUUUCAGCUUGCUGGAAUCCCUUACUGAAGUGAAGGUGCCCACCAAUGAGUUUGGGCAUUCCUGCCAACACAAUAUACUGUGUAGACAGAAUACAUUAAAUGUUCAUUGAGGAAAUGUAAUUUGCUCCUGCUUGUUAACUUGUCAGCCAAAAUGUAGGCAGCCCCAAAUAUGGCUGAAAAUCCAGUAUUUCAUCAGAACGCAAGCCCAACAUGACUACUAUUUGGGAAGAUUUUUUUUCUGCACACAUCAUUUGUAAGUCUAAGAACUACAGAAUAAGUGUGAAUCUACCCACCAUUUACUAGUUCAUUGAAGUCCCACCACUAAUUAGGAGCUCCCUAACAGUGUCAGGAUUAUUAUCUUUUGAAAGGCAGAAUUUGUUACACCGCUCUUGUAUUAGAUUUCAAGUGUACCUAUCAUUGUGUGUUUAUUGAUUAUCUGCAAGAAAAUUGGAACAAAAGCUGGGUCUCUUCAAACAGAGUGAUUUUUAGCUCGUAGCCUUUUUCUCUCUCUCUCUCUCUCUCGCUCUCUCUCUCUGUCUUAAUUUUCUUUUGUUUUAUCUGAGCAUAUACUGCAAUGCGGACAAACAUCAGUGACAUUAGUUUUGAGCCGUAACAACUUUCUUCUGGACUGAAGCAUUUAUUUGAAUCAUGGCUUUAGAGUUGUC